CAGUCGCCGCGGGAAUACGUAGGUGGCAAGCGUUGUCCGGAAUUAUUGGGCGUAAAGGGCUCGCAGGCGGUUUCUUAAGCCUGAUGUGAAAGCCCCCGGCUCAACCGGGGAGGGUCAUUGGAAACUGGGAAACUUGAGUGCAGAAGAGGAGAGUGGAAUUCCACGUGUAGCGGUGAAAUGCGUAGAGAUGUGGAGGAACACCAGUGGCGAAGGCGACUCUCUGGUCUGUAACUGACGCUGAGGAGCGAAAGCGUGGGGAGCGAACAGGAUUAGAUACCCCGGUAGUCCCUGUCUCUUAUAC
rnacentral:rRNA from 1 species